GAGAGUCUUGACCAAUUCGAAAGAUCAUUUGGUGUAGUUGAAAUAACAGAAUUGGAACUUGUUUGGUCAAGUAAGGGAAACUCAAUCAAAUUCAUAACUGUCUCAAUAGAAUCUUUUCCUUCUUUUCUCUGUCUAAAUAUUCAGUUAAGACCAUUCCAAGGCUCCUUUUCGCCAUGCAUAAACUAA
rnacentral:rRNA from 1 species